AGAAAUUUGGAUUAAUACCCCGUAACAUAUAGAUGUGGCAUCACAAUUAUAGUUAUAGGUUUACCGCUUAAAGAUGGGUGUGCGGCUGAUUAGAUAGUUGGCGGGUAAUGGCCCACCAAGUCUACGAUCAGUAGCUGAUGUGAGAGCAUGAUCAGCCACACGGGCACUGAGACACGGGCCCGACUCCUACGGGAGGCAGCAGUAUGGAAUAUUGGACAAUGGACGCAAGUCUGAUCCAGCCAUGCCGCGUGAAGGAUUAAGGUCCUCUGGAUUGUAAACUUCUUUUAUAUGGGACGAAAAAAGGGCAUUCUUGCUCACUUGACGGUACCAUAUGAAUAAGCACCGGCUAACUCCGUG
rnacentral:rRNA from 1 species